UACGUAGGGGGCAAGCGUUGUCCGGAAUCAUUGGGCGUAAAGCGCGUGUAGGCGGCCAUGUAGGUCUGACGUGAAAUUCCGAGGCUCAACCUCGGCAGGUCGUUGGAAACCAUAUGGCUAGAGUCCGGAAGAGGAGAGUGGAAUUCCUGGUGUAGCGGUGAAAUGCGCAGAUAUCAGGAAGAACACCAAUGGCGAAGGCAGCUCUCUGGGACGGUACUGACGCUGAGACGCGAAAGCGUGGGGAGCAAACAGG
rnacentral:rRNA from 1 species